rnacentral:rRNA from 1 species
GACGAACGCUGGCGGCGUGCUUAACACAUGCAAGUCGAACGGAAAGGCCCUUCGGGGUACUCGAGUGGCGAACGGGUGAGUAACACGUGGGUGAUCUGCCCCGCACUUUGGGAUAAGCCUGGGAAACUGGGUCUAAUACCGAAUAGGACCACGCGCUUCAUGGUGUGUGGUGGAAAGCUUUUGCGGUGUGGGAUGGGCCCGCGGCCUAUCAGCUUGUUGGUGGGGUAAUGGCCUACCAAGGCGACGACGGGUAGCCGGCCUGAGAGGGUGACCGGCCACACUGGGACUGUGAUGCGGCCCAGACUCCCACGGGAGGCAGCAGUGGGGAAUAUUGCACAGGGGGCGCAAGCCUGAUGCAGCGACGCCGCGUGAGGGAUGACGGCCUUCGGGUUGUAAACCUCUUGCAAUAGGGACGAAGCGCAAGUGACGGUACCUAUAGAAGAAGCACCGGCCAACUACGUGCCAGCCGCCGCAGUAA